rnacentral:rRNA from 1 species
CCUACGGGCGGCAGCAGUGAGGAAUAUUGGUCAAUGGACGAGAGUCUGAACCAGCCAAGUAGCGUGAAGGAUGACGGCCCUAUGGGUUGUAAACUUCUUUUAGAUGGGAAUAAAAUGUGCCACGGGUGGGAGUGUGUAUGUACCAUAUGAAUAAGGAGCGGCUAACUCCGUGCCAGCAGCCGCGGUAAUACGGAGGAUCCGAGCGUUAUCCGGAUUUAUUGGGGUUAAAGGGAGCGUAGGGGGAUUGUUAAGUCAGUUGUGAAAGUUUGCGGCUCAACCGUAAAAUUGCAGUUGAAACUGGCAUUCUUGAUUACAGUAGAGGUGGUCGGAAUUCGUGGUGUAGCGGU